GGGGCGGUUUUCCGGGAUUAUUGGGCGUAAGAGCUCGUAGGCGGUUUGUCGCGUCUGCCGUGAAAGUCCGGGGCUCAACUCCGGAUCUGCGGUGGGUACGGGCAGACUAGAGUGAUGUAGGGGAGACUGGAAUUCCUGGUGUAGCGGUGAAAUGCGCAGAUAUCAGGAGGAACACCGAUGGCGAAGGCAGGUCUCUGGGCAUUAACUGACGCUGAGGAGCGAAAGCAUGGGGAGCGAACAGGAUUAGAUACCCUGGUAGUCCAUGCCGUAAACGUUGGGCACUAGGUGUGGGGGACAUUCCACGUUUUCCGCGCCGUAGCUAACGCAUUAAGUGCCCCGCCUGGGGAGUACGGCCGCAAGGCUAAAACUCAAAGGAAUUGACGGGGGCCCGCACAAGCGGCGGAGCAUGCGGAUUAAUUCGAUGCAACGCGAAGAACCUUACCAAGGCUUGACAUGAACCGGUAAGACCUGGAAACAGGUCCCCCACUUGUGGCCGGUUUACAGGUGGUGCAUGGUUGUCGUCAGCUCGUGUCGUGAGAUGUUGGGUUAAGUCCCGCAACGAGCGCAACCCUCGUUCCAUGUUGCCAGCGCGUUAUGGCGGGGACUCAUGGGAGACUGCCGGGGUCAACUCGGAGGAAGGUGGGGACGACGUCAAAUCAUCAUGCCCCUUAUGUCUUGGGCUUCACGCAUGCUACAAUGGCCGGUACAAAGGGUUGCGAUACUGUGAGGUGGAGCUAAUCCCAAAAAGCCGGUCUCAGUUCGGAUUGGGGUCUGCAACUCGACCCCAUGAAGUCGGAGUCGCUAGUAAUCGCAGAUCAGCAACGCUGCGGUGAAUACGUUCCCGGGCCUUGUACACACCGCCCGUCAAGUCACGAAAGUUGGUAACACCCGAAGCCGGUGGCCUAACCCCUUGUGGGAGGGAGCUGUCGAAAGUGGGACUGGCGAUUGGGACUAAGUCGUAACAAGGUAACC
rnacentral:rRNA from 1 species